rnacentral:lncRNA from 1 species
UCUUUGCUACAGCUGAUUAUUCACAAUGAUGCUGGUUGAGGCCUUCUUGUGUUUUAUCUUAGUUUUUUUGCAGAGGAUGCUGCCAGGAUAAAAUAUGGGUAUUACAAAGGUUUCACAUAUAUCCUUAUCCGGUUAACCUAGUUUUGCUGGAAUGCUGAAACAACGGAGUUAAUUUGUUCCUGUGGAGGUAAAUGCAGAAUCUGUUCUGUUAUCAUGCUUACGCAACUCUGCUUCUUAGAUUACUUUUCUGAUGCUUUGUUUUAUUAUGGUAUUUUGGCAUAUUUUGCAUCAAACUCUGCUACAGAAAAUGCAAAAUAUUUCUGUUUAGACCGAAAAGUUCAAAUUGCAACCCGGUUUAAAGGACAGUCAAGGAUAUUGUUUGAAACAAGCAUCUCAACAGAAAAACAUAUUAAGCAUAACGCCAUUCAUAUUUUGAAACAGUAUACCAACAUUAUUUUCAUGUGAAAAUUCAAGAGAGAACACAGAUAACUGAAAUCCUCUGGCGGUUUGCAUGCCAUGAAAAUAUAAAAGGAAAUAAGAGGCCAUUUUGCGUGCAUGAACCUUUAUUUACCUGCUUAAAUAUGAAGCCAUAAUAUUACCAUUUACAAAUAUUCCAUAUAUAUGCCGGCUUCAAAGUAACAAUGAUCUUAAGGUCCAUUACGAAUAGCAGCAGCCGUGGUGGGGAAUGACACUAUGGAGGGCUUGGCACUGAAGGGAUAGUUGGUGGAAGUGGAGGCAAUCUGACAAGUGGUGGAUCAGGUAAAUUAGGAGGAACUGUUAAGCCGAGAAUAUUACACGUUGGAGGCAGGAGAUGACGAGCUGCCACAGAAAAUAACAGUGUGAUCAUGAACAUAGCCAAAAUCAGUAAACGAGAAGAUGCUAUAGUAUAAUAAUAUAAGAACAAGAAAUCAGUGACCUCUGACCUAGAACAAUCAGACAAGGAAAGCAAUAGAGGCUUAUGGGGGUGUGGAAACAGUGAUCUUUCAUUUGUUAUUUAUAGUCGAGGACAUUGAUUCAGCGUGUAAAUGCAGUGUGGUAAGCUGCUGCAUUUCGUGAGUUUUGUUGCAUGUGCUUUGCUAAAACUCAAGUACUUCAAAAGCUGAAAUCAGGCAACCAGUACAUAUUACUCCAGCUGCUGUUAAAUUUUUGUCUCACUGCCUUCAAAUGCAGCUGUAGUCAUCACAUGAGUCUACCUAAUUUGUUUGGUAGAUGCAGGUAUGUCUCAAAAUUUCGAAUAAAGUUACACAAAUAAUAGUUUCAGUCCACCGAUGUUCCAUAUUGAUUGCUAUCUGUGGUCAUGGAAAUUUGUUCCGAGGAUGUUAAUUCGAGGCAGUAAGACGUCAGUGUUUGGUUAAGAUUAGCACUGCUCUCAAUUCAGUUUUCAUGUGAAGUGGCUGCAAAUUUUGUUGUAGUCUUCAUACCUGUAGCUAAAUAGUUUGAUAGAUUCAGAUGUGUCAAAAAUUAGAUACAAAAAUGAAACUACACAACUACUCUUUCCUUUCUUCUACUAAUUUUUUUCUCACCUUUAUGUAGUUAGCUUCUGUUUGGGGCCAUUACAUUCUGUUUUAGGAACUGUAAUUAAUGAUGUGUUCAAUAUGAUAUGUCGGCGAUCUAUUAGUUUGUUCCAUGUAACCAGAUCAUUAUCUGAUUGGAACAAUUAUUCAAGUCCUUAAUGAUUUUUCCUUAUACCAAGUCCUUUAUGAUUCUCCAACAGGGAUGAUAUCAAUUAUGAUUUUCCUUUCUUAGAAAAAAAGUAUUUUUCGAGUCAAUAUUUUAGGAAUCAAUGAAGUAGGGCGUCAACGGAAGCUUAUUAAGGAAAGAGUUAGAUGUUGAAUUGUCAGUCACAGUGUUUUGCUGCUGAUUUCUUUUCCAUAUCUGUCAGAAAUGUUAAAGAGUAGGGUAUCUUUGCUACAGCUGAUUAUUCACAAUGAUGCUGGUUGAGAUCUUGUGGUUUAUCUUAGUUUUUUUUGCAGAGGAUGCUGCCAGCAUAAAAUAUGGGUAUUACGAAGGUUUCAUGUAUAUCCUUAUCCGGUUAACCUAGUUUUGCUGUAAUGCUGAAACUACGGAGACUCAGGUUAGUUUGUUCCUGUGGAGGUAAAUGCAGAAUCUGUUCUGUUAUCAUGCUUACGCAACUCUGCUUCUUAGAUUACUUUUCUGAUGCUUUGUUUUAUUAUGGUGUUUCGG